ensembl:lncRNA
ACUCUCGCCUGGAGAAUCCCAUGGACAGAGGAGCCUGGUGGGCUGCAAUCCAUGGGGUCACUAAGUGUCGGAUACGACUAAGUGACUUCACUUUCACUUUUCACUUUCAUGCAUUGGAGAAGGAAAUGGCAACCCACUCCAGUGUUCUUGCCUGGAGAAUCCCAGGGACGGGGGAGCCUGGUGGGCUGCCGUCUAUGGGGUCGCACAGAGUCGGACACGACUGACGAGACUUAGCAGCAGUAGCAGCAGCAGCCCUUAAAGAGCCUCCAUUCUAUAGUGACAGACAGGAAAUAAGAGAAGUUCUUUUAAAAAAGCAAUGAAUGGCUGCCGUGUUUUGAACUCUUGCUACACCAUACACAGCAGUCUUGUGAGGCCAUUAACUUUUCACCCAGCUAAUGAGAGAGAUUUGGAAGACAUACAGCAGUAGUGUAUCAUCAUGAGAAGCUGGGCCUGGGCGUGAUUCCCACUUCUGCAGCUUGCUAGCUGUGUAAUCAUAAGCAAGUGACUUAAUUUUUACUUGCCUCAGUUUUCUUAACUGUAAAAUGGGGUUUCUAUCUUACAGGAGUUUGGGGAGAAUGUUCAUUGUAUCUGUAAUGUAACUUUUAGAACAGUGCUUAGUUGUCAUAAGUCGGUUCAAUUUUACAGAUAAAUAAAUUGAGGUAUGGCGAGAUUUAACUACUUGUCCCAGUCUUCUCAUGCACCUAAUAAACAGUGGGAACCAAGAUUCCAACUCAAGUCUCUUUGUCUCUACAGCAGGUGCUCUUAUCCACAAGUAUACCUUGUGCUUCCGGCAAAGUUGAUUAACCUCUUGGAGGAUCGGUUGGUUCAUCUGCAGUCUGGGUUUGAUAACAGCAAACUGCCUAUUUAGCUGUGAUAAGGCCACCUUGUGCCUCUGUUUCAUCAUCUUUAUGCCUGAAGAUGUUCCACUGUGUGCCCCAGAAAGAGAAACCAUGCACGCAGGAGAUUGAGUGAAGCCAGAGGAAGAACGUGAUUGGUCAGCAUAGGCCAGUGAACUGGCUCCGUCAGGGUCAAAGUCAAUCCACCAAUCCUGUGGUCCCUCUGUACUUAAAGCACCACAAGGAGCAACGGAAUCUCUACCCUCGAGGAGUCUUAAUCGAGAGUGGAUCAUGUCAUUCUUUCCUGAGGCCCAGGAGGGGUGAGUUGUCCUGUGUGCUGUGCAGGGGCGGGGCGCCGCCCCUGCUGAAGCUGGUGCGUUCCAUUGGACAAUGUGGCCUUUUCUGCUCGACUCUCACUGGGCAUGUACAGUGAGAUGUGGGUGCGGCUGACCAUCCAUUGCAACAAUUCCCAAGCUUCCAGAGUAAGGCAUUUUCAAAUAAAAAGAUGUGUAUAUUGUAAUUACUAAUUCUGUUUACCCUCUUUUCUGUGAAAGGACUACAGAAACUUGACUUUUAAAAAUUAGCGUGUGAAAAGUCAUUCUCUCUCUCUCUCUCCCCCUGCCCCCAGAUCCCCUCUUCUCUUGCUUUGAACUACAUUCUUGUAUUCACUCUGCAACUUUUUAUUGUGAGCCUUGUGGUGUGUUGUUGAAAAUACAGCCGAGGACGGUUUUAUUCUUAUUGAACUGAGGGCCCUAAUGAGAGAUGCAGAUGCUAUGCUGUUUCUAGUGGGGUUUUAAUUUUGUUUGUUUGCUUGUU